UGGCAGUCGCUGUUCCACAAAUGCUGCUCACCAGGAACUCCAGAUUGCUGCUGGUGUGUAGGACAGAGGAUUCGGCUAUUGUGGGAAACCAGGGUUGGGGAAAGUUUCUUCAUAAGGCUGGGUUAUGAGUCUAGCUUAGAGGUCAUGUCUCACUCAGAAACUACCGAAGUCAUGCUAGGAACAGUGUAGAGACACGGGGAUAAUAAAAUCGUUGGGCUGAA